CCAACUUCUGCUUUUGGAAAAACCUCUACAGGCGGUUCUGAGAAGUCCAAGGGUUGCUGGGAGAGGUUGCACGCCAGGGCCUGUACUGACCACCUCCACGUGCCACUGGGGCUGUAAGGAGGAAUGGCGGCCGUGGGCAGCCUGCUUGGGUAAGCAUGGACUUUUAGGUCCCUGGGGAUUACUGUCAGGGGCCACCCCAGGGAACCCCUCUCUUCAGCAGGAAACCGCCAUUCUAAUCCUCCCUAGUCCUUGCUAUUGUCCACUGUCCCCUGUGCUGGAAGCUUUGUGCCCUUGCUCAGCCUGGCAGCCUCUUCCUGGCUAGGGGGCCAGAACGCCUCUGACCACAGCCUGUGGCUCCUGAGGAAGCCCCGAGGCUCAUCCUGCCCCGGCACGGGUCACCAGCUCUGGUAAUGUCUCCUGUGGCCCGGCAGUGCCCAAUCACAGCCAGCCUCAGUCAUGUUGGCACUCUGCUGCAGCACUGUCGGCUGACCAGAGCUUGAACAUUUAUCUGCAGCCGGCUGAGGCAGAGCACCGUGAAGGCCACCGGACCUGCACUCCGCCGCCUGCACACAUCCUCCUGGCGAGCUGACAGCAGCAGGGCCUCACUCACUCGUGUGCACCGCCAGGCUUAUGCACGACUCUACCCCGUGCUGCUGGUGAAGCAGGAUGGCUCCACCAUCCACAUCCGCUACAGGGAGCCACGGCGCAUGCUGGCG
rnacentral:lncRNA from 10 species